rnacentral:misc_RNA from 1 species
GUGAAUCAUCGAAUCUUUGAACGCACAUUGCGCCCGCCGGUAUCCCGGCGGGCAUGCCUGUUCGAGCGUCAUUUCAACCCUCAGGCUCCGCCUGGUGUUGGGGCUCCUGCGCACUGCAGGCCCUCAAAGGCAGCGGCGGGUGCGCCUACGAACCGAACGCAGUAGUUUUCUCUCGUUCUGGUCGCGCAGGCGUACUCCAGCCGGUAAACCCCUUACUUUUACAAUGGUUGACCUCGGAUCAGGUAGGAAUACCCGCUGAACUUAAGCAUAUCAAUAAGCGGAGGA